CAAGAUGCCCCGUAUUUUUGAAACGGGUUCUAUUCCCAAACCGUGUAUACAUACCUUUGUUGCUUUGGCAGGCCGCCUUCGGGCGUUGGCUCACGCUGACCGCGCCUGCCAGAGGACCCAAACUCGUUUGUUUAGUGAUGUCUGAGUACUAUAUAAUAGUUAAAACUUUCAACAACGGAUCUCUUGGUUCUGGCAUCGAUGAAGAACGCAGCGAAAUGCGAUAAGUAAUGUGAAUUGCAGAAUUCAGUGAAUCAUCGAAUCUUUGAACGCACAUUGCGCCCCUUGGUAUUCCGAGGGGCAUGCCUGUUCGAGCGUCAUUAUAACCACUCAAGCCUGGCUUGGUAUUGGGGUUCGCGAUCUCGCGGCCCUUAAAAUCAGUGGCGGUGCCAUCUGGCUCUAAGCGUAGUAACUUAUCUCGCUAUUGGGUCCGGUGGUUGCUUGCCAACAACCCCCAACUUCUAAGGUUGACCUCGGAUCAGGUAGGGAUACCCGCUGGC
rnacentral:rRNA from 1 species